ensembl:snoRNA
AGCACACUGUUUCUUUUUAACUUGUGGACAAAGACUUCUAGACAACUCAAAAAAAUACAUCUUCUUUUGCAACCCAGAACUCACUGUUCAGUAUGAGUUCUGAUACAUAUAAGGAUUGUGCAAAA